rnacentral:ncRNA from 1 species
UAUUAGGUGAUGACAAGAAUUAGUAAAUAUAUCAAGGCAUUUAGAGAGGAAGUGGUUGGUGAAAACUUCUUGGGAGAUAUAUUGAAGCUGUCUUAGAGCCAUAUUUAAUUAAGUGAUAUUAAAAUUUUUAAAAUUUUAAUAUAAUAAGGGUGGUAACGCGGAACCUUUCGUCCCUUUU